GGGUCGAGGUGCUGCCCAAACUGAAGUAAGGAAAACUAGAGGGAAAAGUAAGGUGAGGGAAACAACAAACAUGGAAGGUAAACUUGAUCAAAUCAUCUCAAAUAUGGGUGAUCGGGUCGAAUCUCUUGAAAGCUCCUUCGAGGCGUUGGAGGGACACGCCAUUGGAAAGAUAGAAACUCUACAAAUUAAUGUCCAAGAGGUGAUGGACACACAGGCAUCAUUAGGGGAUGAUGUCCAA
rnacentral:lncRNA from 1 species